rnacentral:misc_RNA from 1 species
AAACGCGCACAUAUCUUUCGAUCUCUCUCUCUCGUAAGGGCGCCGGGCCCCUUCCUGGUCGUCCAGGCGAUGCACGUCGUGCUUUCACACGUCAUGUCUCACUCAUGCUUUUCUUUUGCGUCUUAGCCUUCUAUUGUGGCGGCAGCCCCGAAGACGGAGGGUGGGGUGGGGUGGGGAAGUAGUUUGGCACACACCUCGGUGUGUGCGGUGCCAGGGAUCAGUGCCCGCUCUGUGGGGAAAUCCUGGCAGCCCCUCCUCCUCCUAUCUCCGCGAAUGCCGAACUACCUCCGGUAGUGGCAAGAUCAAGUACCCGCAACGUAGGGAAGUCAGUGCGAUGUAUUUGCUAUUCAUGCCAGCGGGCAGGUCCUGGAUGGGCGUGGCGUCGGAGCGACGCGCGACCGUGAACAGGGUUGUGCCAUCCAUAUAGUAGGCAGGGUGUCAGCGUGACUCAAACGUGGCCCAACCGUCCCUCGCACUGCCUGCGGGGCGGGGUGUGGGUGGGUAGGGUUUGAGGUAGGGGUCGUGCUCCGAUGACUGCGUCGGUGCAUUGCUGGAGCGCGCGUCUGCACGACUGCUUCGCACCACGCGAGGCACCCCUGUGGCAGGCAGGCCAGGAGUUGCUCGGGUGGCGCAUGACCUCAUGUUGUACGGCCGAGCAUUGGACACGUUGCGAAGUGAGAAAGACAACUCAACGGGAGUGCGCAACUGUGCCGCGAAGCCUCAUGAGGCGCAUGCUCUUACUGUUUCCGCAAGUCAGAUGUUUUAUCUGCUGAGUGCGCGCCUCUGGUUUUUCUUUUUUUUUGUUUCAUUUUUGUGGUUACUGUCUUACUUCCAACGUGCCGCUCUUCCUUUCCCGCUUUUCUUCUCUUCUUUCGUACUCUGAAG